rnacentral:rRNA from 1 species
UACGAAGGGGGCUAGCGUUGCUCGGAAUCACUGGGCGUAAAGGGUGCGUAGGCGGGUCUUUAAGUCAGGGGUGAAAUCCUGGAGCUCAACUCCAGAACUGCCUUUGAUACUGAGGAUCUUGAGUUCGGGAGAGUUGAGUGGAACUGCGAGUGUAGAGGUGAAAUUCGUAGAUAUUCGCAAGAACACCAGUGGCGAAGGCGGCUCACUGGCCCGAUACUGACGCUGAGGCACGAAAGCGUGGGGAGCAAACAGG